GUCUAUUAGAAAGUGUUUAUAGUCUAGCCUGCUCACUGACAUAAAGUGUUAAAUAGCCGCGGUAUCUUGACCGUGCAAAGGUAGCAUAAUCAUUAGUUUCUUAAUUGGGAACUUGUAUGAAUGGUUGGACAAAGAAAAAUCUGUCUCUUGUAUUAAAAUUGAAUUUAACUUCUGAGUGAAAAGGCUCAGAUUAGCCAGAGGGACGAUAAGACCCUAUAAAGCUUUAUAAAUUUAUUAAUUUCUUCUAUUUUUUUUAUAAUGAGGAUGUUAAGAAGAUUUAUUUGGUUGGGGCAACCGAAGUAUAAUUAAAGAUAACUGCUAAUAGUUUAUACAAUGAUUUUUGUUUUAAUAAUAAUUGAUCCUUAAAAAGAUUAAAGACCAAGUUACUUUAGGGAUAACAGCGUAAUUUAUCCUGAGAGUUCUUAUCAAAGGAGAAGUUUGCGACCUCGAUGUUGAAUUAAAAUGUCUAUUCAGUGCAGCAGCUGAAAAAGAAGGUCUGUUCGACCUUUAAUUUUUUACAUGAUUUGAGUUCAGACCGGCGUAAGCCAGGUUG
rnacentral:rRNA from 1 species